rnacentral:rRNA from 1 species
AACGAACGCUGGCGGCAUGCCUAACACAUGCAAGUCGAACGAGACCUUCGGGUCUAGUGGCGCACGGGUGCGUAACGCGUGGGAACCUGCCCUUAGGUUCGGAAUAACUCCCCGAAAGGGGUGCUAAUACCGGAUAAUGUCUUCGGACCAAAGAUUUAUCGCCUUUGGAUGGGCCCGCGUUGUAUUAGCUAGUUGGUAGGGUAAAAGCCUACCAAGGCGACGAUCCAUAGCUGGUCUGAGAGGAUGAUCAGCCACACUGGGACUGAGACACGGCGCAGACUCCUACGGGAAGCAGCAGUGGGGAAUAUUGGACAAUGGGCGAAAGCCUGAUCCAGCAAUGCCGCGUGAGUGAUGAAGGCCUUAGGGUUGUAAAGCUCUUUUACCCGGGAUGAUAAUGACAGUACCGGGAGAAUAAGCUCCGGCUAACUCCGUG